rnacentral:tRNA from 9 species
AAAAAGUCUGAAUAAUUCAGAACAA